UACGGGGGGGGCAAGCGUUGUUCGGAAUUCUGGGCGUAAAGGGCUCGUAGGCGCCAACUAAGUCAGACGUGAAAUCCCUCGGCUUAACCGGGGGAACUGCGUCUGAUACUGGAUGGCUAGAGGUUGGGAGAGGGAUGCGGAAUUCCAGGUGUAGCGGUGAAAUGCGUAGAUAUCUGGAGGAACACCGGUGGCGAAGGCGGCAUCCUGGACCAAUUCGUGACGCUGAGGAGCGAAAAGCCAGGGGAGCAAACGGGG
rnacentral:rRNA from 1 species